GUCGUUAAUACAUUUCUGUAGUAUUAUCUUGAUAAGUACAAGAGCUUUGGAUUCGGCCAUUUCAUUGCAUCUCAUUAGCUUGUCCAUAUGAAGUUUAGCUUAAAUUGCAGAUACUUUUCCUCAUGAAAACUAUCGCUUCAAUAUCCUAUUAAUUAGAUAUUACACAUACGUUAAA